CCCGUGCUACAACCGCACAGAACAGGUACAUAAGCCCGCUUUCGUGUCGGCGCCUGGGAUGGCGAGUCUUAGUCUAAGA
rfam:Bacillus sp. 2_A_57_CT2 genomic scaffold supercont1.3, whole genome shotgun sequence.